rnacentral:rRNA from 1 species
CGGAGGGUGCAAGCGUUAUCCGGAUUCACUGGGUUUAAAGGGUGCGUAGGUGGGUUGGUAAGUCAGUGGUGAAAUCUCCGUGCUUAACAUGGAAACUGCCAUUGAUACUACUGGUCUUGAAUUUUCUGGAGGUAAGCGGAAUAUGUCAUGUAGCGGUGAAAUGCUUAGAUAUGACAUAGAACACCAAUUGCGAAGGCAGCUUACUACAGGGAUAUUGACACUGAGGCACGAAAGCGUGGGGAUCAAACAGGAUUAGAUACCCUGGUAGUCCACGCCCUAAACGAUGGAUACUCGACAUUUGUGAUACACAAUAAGUGUCUGAGCGAAAGCAUUAAGUAUCCCACCUGGGAAGUACGACCGCAAGGUUG